UACAGAGGUGGCAAGCGUUGUUCGGAAUUACUGGGCGUAAAGGGCUCGUAGGCGGCCUUCUAAGUCGGACGUGAAAUCCCCCGGCUUAACCUGGGAACUGCGUCUGGUACUGGGAGGCUAGAGUAUGGGAGAGGGAUGUAGAAUUCCAGGUGUAGCGGUGAAAUGCGUAGAUAUCUGGAGGAACACCAAUGGCGAAGGCAGCUCGCUGGAACGGUACUGACGCUGAGGCGCGAAAGCGUGGGGAGCGAACAGG
rnacentral:rRNA from 1 species